rnacentral:rRNA from 1 species
GGGUUGUCAUGCCAAUGGCACUGCCCGGUAGCUAAAUGCGGAAGAGAUAAGUGCUGAAAGCAUCUAAGCACGAAACUUGCCCCGAGAUGAGUUCUCCCUGAGACCUUGAGUCUCCUGAAGGAACGUUAAAGACGAUGACGUUGAUAGGUCGGGUGUGUAAGCGCAGCGAUGCGUUGAGCUAACCGAUACUAAUGAACCGUGAGGCUUAACCUU